rnacentral:lncRNA from 1 species
GGGGUCUUGAUACAACUUCAGAACAUUUCCGUGUCGUUAUUCGUACAAGACCCUCGUCUCUCUCUACCCCCCAUUUGGUUAUUAGGAGGAGGUCCCCUCGAGAUCCUCGAAUAACUGGACCUGCUGGACGGGUCAAGUGGCGCCCGACGUGGAGCACGAGGUACGACUGCCCUCCGGACAACGGAUUAAGGAUUAAAGAGGUACCGCGCAGACAGAGAAACAGUGAGACAGUCCACUGACACUUCACUUGAGUGUCGAGUACGGACGUCAGGAGGUAAGCCUAGGCAUUCAGUUGUUGUCCCAUUAACCAUGGGGCAUUUAGUGAAGAGAUAAAGGGUUCUCUUAAGGAGAGAGGGAUAAGAGUUUUAAAAAAAGGGAAAUUUAAUAAUAUAUUUUUGUUUUGUGGACAAGAGAUGUCCAUGGCUGGUAUUAAAUGGUUCUGAAACUUAGAAUAAAGUAGGCAAAGAAAUCAAUAGUUUAAUAAAACAAGGAGGAGAUGUCCAUGAGUCCUUUUUUAGUUAUUGGGGAAUCAUCAGAGAUCUCUUUGAGCAGGCAGAAAAGGGCGGAAAAGGUGCUCGCCUCCUAGCCCUUACUGAAGAUUUUUUAGAAAACGACCAAUCGCCAUCUCACAAAAGCAAAACUAAGCUGCCAGCGCACAGUAUCUCUAUUGGAAGGUUUAGCAGAAGGCUACUUGGUACCCAAUAAAUGAAAUAAAGUUAUUCAGUCUGUCCUCACUAGAGGCCAAUAUUUAACUUGAAAGUCAGAGUUUGUGGAAGACAGCCUCCUGGACUGCUGACAAAAUCUGUGGUUAAGGCAAUUUCGCUACAGACAUAAAACAAUUAGGGCUCUCCCCUGGUGUCCUUGCCCCGGCCGCACAAGCGGCCCUGAGAGCUUGGCGCGCUGUCCCUGCUACAGGGGCACUAACUAUGCCCCUAACCAAGAUUAUACAAGGGCCCCAAGAGUCCUAUGGGCAGUUCGUUGCCAAAUUGCAGGAAGCAGCUGAGAAAAUUUUGGGACCUGAGGGUCUGUUAGUCCGACAAUUUGCUCUUGAAAACGCCAAUUCAGCAUGUAGGGCUGCUCUGAGAGGUAAAACCAAGAGUUUAGAUAUAAAUGGUAUGAUCAAGCUUUGUAAUGAGGUAGAUGUGUUUUCUCAACAAGUUUCUAAGUCUAUUAACCUGGCCAUUGGGGCUGCUCUAACUCCAGCUCCAAGAUUGGUGUCAAGCCCCAUUGGCCCAAGUUAAAAGUAGACAUCUGUGUCCUCACAUUGGGUAUAGAUGCCGCCUGGGGCACCCCUGAUUAUUAUAUGCCUCAAUUAACAGCAGUUAACACAGGUAAAUUUGAGCCCCCUCCCCAAAAGACGUUUUUUCUCAUCAUCGGCCGAGUGUCCAGACUUUUACAAGGCCUAAUGGUGACUCCUACAGUGGUUGACACCGAUUACCAUGGGGAGAUAAAAAUCUUAGUCACCGCCACGCAGGAACCACUUACCCUUAGGGCUGGAGAGCGCAUAGCCCAAGCCUUACCACUCCCACUAUUCGGCCAUUUCCCUUAUAUGAAAGAGGAGCGAGGACCUUCCUCCCUGGGAUCCUCAGAAGUCUACUGGGCACAGAAAAUAACUGAUUCAUGGCCCAUGCCGACUUUGUUUCUAGAGGACAAACAGUUCAAAGGGCUCCUAGAUACCAGGGCAGAUGCGACAGUAAUUUCCUCAACACACUGGCCUGCAGCCUGGCCCUUACAGCCCACUAAGGGAUGGUGUAAUCCACUGAUCAUAAAAUUUACUGCUAAGAGGAGGAACUUAGAGGCUUGAAAAAGUUCUCGCCCUCUCACCUGGGGCCUAAGAUUGUAUCAAGAUAACUAUGACAAUGGCCUGACCUUUAAGGUUCCGCUUCCUAAAACCAUCCCUAAUAAUCAUAAAGCAGCCAUAGGACUUCCAGGCACCCGCCCCCCUGUUCCUGCCCCAGGGUGUGCUACGACCCUGUUUCGGCCCACUCUCCCUGCGGGGAGGCCCCCCUCUUCCACUGAUUUACUGUGGUCUAUAUUAAAUGCUUCUGCUUUAGCCUUGUUGUAUAAGACACAAAGAGAUAAUGCAUCAGAAUCUGAAGAUUGUUGGAUGUGCUUUUCUGCUUCCCCGCCCUUUUAUGAGGGCAUAGCCUUAUUUGAAAAUUUUACCCUGCUUUCAGACGCUAGGCAGCUUCCCCUUGAGUCAGUUCAGCUUACCUUGACAGAACUCUCUGGGGUAAGAAGUUGUGUGUUGGGCCCAGGCAUGCUUCGAGGCCCUUGCUAGAGAUUUGCAAUAACACAUUUAUAGUAAAUAAAAGUGGGUUUUAAAGAGACUUCGUAAAGGUCAAAAAAUUCAUAGAUUAGGUUUUAUUGGAAGUUAAGAAAUCAUUUCCUAAAACUAUAUAAUUCAUUUUGUCAAUGGUGUUUUUGUUGGUUGCAGAAAAUAGAGAGCGUUUUUACAGAUGGCUAUAAAUUAUUUAACUAAGUGUGGACUGAUAAUGACUUCAAAAAAGAUUUAGCAUGGUAAACUUUUAGGUUAUUUGAGACAUUUAGUGUAUAGAGAUUGUGUGUUUUCUCAAAAAUUUGCCCUCAGAUUAAAUAAAUUAAAAGUUUUAGAUGCUUGCCAGAAACUGUUAGAAAAUCUUGGAUUUUAAUCUUGGUUUGACAAGCUACCUCUUACAAGCAGGAAAGGAAAGGAAGGAAUAAAGGAAAAUGGAUUUUAGAACUCUCCCAGGGACAGAGAGAAAUCGGGGGACGCCCUGUUUUAUUCUCUCUGGCCCCUACAGGAGAAGCUCUCUACCCUCUUUUGCACCAAUCACGUCAAUUCAUGUAUGUUUUUUGUCUCGUUGUCUAAAUGAUUGUUUCGUUGUCUGAAUGACUGGCUGUUUUAUGUUUCAUGUUAAAAAGAAGAAAAAAAAAUGGUUAAAACUUUACCUGCUGAAUCACUCUCAGUAUGCACAAUUGAGGCUGAGAGGCCCUUCCCUUUAGCCAAAAUCAAGCACAGCAGGAGAGGUCCUGCUGAAAAACUUCGAAUCUACAACCUCUUAGUUCUAAGGCAAAUAAGCUGAUAGUUGUUCUUUCCUAAAAAAUUCUCUGCAAUUUUGUGAUUAUUGUAUUUAGCAAAUGACAAAGUGUGUUUUUAUCUUAUAAGUAUAGCUAUAAAAAGUAAAAGUCUUUAAUUGAUCUAAAUUUAUAAGAUUCGUGAAGCCACUUCAUUUGGUUUUUGAUUGGUCUUAAAGAUAUAAAUAUGAUCUACAUAUUUUGGUCAUAGAAAAUUGGCUUAUAAGUUAUUUGGGUAUGAUUAAAAAGGUAUAACACUGGUUACAAAGUUAGCUUAAGUAAUAACUCAAGGCUAGAGUCAUUUUCAAACAAAAGCACCUGGCAUAAAACAGCCCAGAAAACUAGUCCUCUAAAGAUACUCCUAAAUUGAGAUAAAAUUUUGUGUAAUUCUUAUCCCAGAAAGUAGACUUAUAGAGAUAAGAUUUUAAAACAAUGUCUCUUUAAUAGAACAUUAAAAUUUACACUGUCAUGCAUUCAUAAAUUAGCAGCCAAACUUUAUAACAUGAUAGUGAUGUUUCUAGUAUUGACUUUAAAGAAAAUAAAUUGUUUAAAAUUGGGUCUUGCUUUCCAAAAGUUAUAGAUAUAUUCUAAUAUUACAACGGAAACUUAAAAAUUAGGGUUAAAAUUGCCAGUGUUCCAUUGACUGCCACUUGCAGUUUGAUUACAAAUUUAAGGUCUUUAAUUCACCUGUAUAUUGUAGUUAAGAUAAUUAUAAGAGUAAUCAUCCUUAAGAAAGAGUAUCAAAAAUUAGAGGCAUAGAUAGUUAAAUUGUUCCUCUAAAACUGGUCCUUAUUACAGGAGGGCCAAGAUGCUCAGAUUAAAAAAUAUUCUACGUUUAAGUUAAUGUAGCCCAGAGAAGAUUGCGGCCUUCUUUUAUUUUUGCAAACAGUGCCUAAGAAAGUUUUUCCCUGUGUUCAAAAAAAAGUUCUUUUUAGCUUUGUUACAGAUCUAUUCAAAUGUUUAAAAUAAUGCUUAAAUUCAAAGAGUUUUACUUUUAGUGAACUGGUGAUCACUAGAUAAUUUUGCCUGUAGGUAUGGCUAACAUAGCUUUACAAUAUGUAUGAAAUUUUUAUUGUCUGCUUCAAUACAAGAAACAAAGUUUAAAUCUUUCAGUGUAUAUUGUUUCCUAAGUGAAAAAAAAGUAUUCUAUUAGCUAAUGCCUCCAAAGAGAAGUUUAAAGUUCUGAAAAGUAAUUGUUGCUCCAUAAGAUUUAGAGGCAACAUAUUUUUAAUAUUUAGGAUUUUAGUU